rnacentral:misc_RNA from 1 species
GGGAGAGAGAGAUGAAUAAGGAAAGGUGGUGUGUGUGGGUGCUUACUGCCUUGGUUGUGACUAACAAGAUAACCUAGAAAUAGAAUCAAUCAAUCACCAAGACAUAAAUAACAUUAGAUUUUGGGUUUUUUUCCUAUUUGGUAAGAUUUCCAAAUCUCCCUUUGGCUCUUUUCUUAAAUGGAAUUGAACAGCAUUUCUUAUGGUUUUCCUUGUUUUCUCUGGAUCAAUCAACAA